rnacentral:rRNA from 1 species
UCAUUACACAAAUAUGAAGGCGGGCUGGAACCUCUCGGGGUUACAGCCUUGCUGAAUUAUUCACCCUUGUCUUUUGCGUACUUCUUGUUUCCUUGGUGGGUUCGCCCACCACUAGGACAAACAUAAACCUUUUGUAAUUGCAAUCAGCGUCAGUAACAAAUUAAUAAUUACAACUUUCAACAACGGAUCUCUUGGUUCUGGCAUCGAUGAAGAACGCAGCGAAAUGCGAUAAGUAGUGUGAAUUGCAGAAUUCAGUGAAUCAUCGAAUCUUUGAACGCACAUUGCGCCCUUUGGUAUUCCAAAGGGCAUGCCUGUUCGAGCGUCAUUUGUACCCUCAAGCUUUGCUUGGUGUUGGGCGUCUUGUCUCUAGCUUUGCUGGAGACUCGCCUUAAAGUAAUUGGCAGCCGGCCUACUGGUUUCGGAGCGCAGCACAAGUCGCACUCUCUAUCAGCAAAGGUCUAGCAUCCAUUAAGCCUUUUUUUCAACUUUUGACCUCGGAUCAGGUAGGGAUACCCGCUGAACUUAAGCAUAUCAAUA